AGAAAUUUCUAUAAAAAAAAAAAACAAGGAAGGAUUUUAUAUCUGACCCAUAAACAUACCUCGAGAGAGAGAUUUUCUUCUUUGUCUUCUUUUUUUCUUAUAUAAGUAUAUUCGCUGGAAAAUGAUGGAAGCAUUGAAGAGACAAUGCAAAAGGAGCAAAAGAGAGAGAGAGAGAGAGAGAGAAGAGCUUUGCUGUUCCUCUCUGUUUUAUUCUUUGGUCCACCCAAUCACAUCAGUGGAGAGAGGUUCAAACUCAUUUUCGACCUUAUUUGGUCAAAUUGUAUCUCCUCUCUUCCACUGGGAUUGGCAGGUGGGUCAUAUUGACGGGAUAUUUCACAAUAUUGUUU
rnacentral:lncRNA from 1 species